rnacentral:tRNA from 1 species
CGCGGGGUAGAGCAGUGGUAGCUCGUCAGGCUCAUAACCUGGAGGUCGCUGGUUCAAGUCCGGCCCCCGCAACCA